GAUGGCAGUGCAAAAGAAGAAUGUGACCGGAAGCCAGUAAACGAGCAUAAAACCGAGUUGCCGAAAAUAUUGCGUUCAUUUUCAUUCGACUCUCCGACGUACGAGAUCACCACUUGAGAUCCUUAUGGCAUCAUCCAUGUGUGGACCCAGCAGGGUUGGGCAUCUCGGUGGCCUCUCGGGGCUUCACAAAGCUGGUUGUCAAGAAAUGGAGGUUCACAGGUGAUUGGUCAGACUAAGAAUGAUUUUGGAACAUUCUUGUGGACCAGAACCUGCCCACUGGAGUGCACACGCCCCGCCCCCCCUACUGCGGUGCACACGUCCCCCCCCUGCAGAUGCAGGUCUGGUGGUCGGACAAGUUGCUAGUGGUCAGGCCCACGUGAUGGGUACGACAUGAGCCGGGUGCUGGACAUUGCGAGGAUAAGAUGGCGGAUACAAGCAGCAGAAAUGAUUGGCCAACACCUUCCCAGUAGUGGAAAUGGAUGCAGUCCCCCCCCAUGUUGUCUAAGAUGGGCAUGAUUUUAUUGUAAUUUUUUUUUUUUUAAUGAAUUAAAUUAGUUUAAUGUUACAGUUUUGACUUAAGUUAUUGAAUUAAAUUUUUUAUUUUAUACUUCCUAUUUAAGUUGGUAAUAAAAUUAAUUCACUGUCUAAA